rnacentral:lncRNA from 1 species
UGAUCCUAAAAACAGACAGACACCUGGCUGUGUACCUUUAAGACACAGCCGCAGAUCGACAUGCAAACUAACGGUGCCAGACGGUGGCGUGGGGGGGCCGUGGUCAAGAAUGAGCACCGAUCACGCAGUUUGAUUCCAUGAGCAGGGAAGGCCAGACGAGCCCUUCCAGUGAACCUCUGUGGACGCUAUCAUGACAAGCUGCUGCCCUUCGCUGAAAUAACCCAGCGGACCCGAAAACCAGAUGCCAGACAAAGCUAUUUUUAUGUCUUGCAAACCUAACCCAAGCAACAGCUGCCUGUUGAAAGAGUGAUCGUGGCCUUCACCACAAUGAACACGAGAAACUGCUCAGUCCUGGUGAACUCUACUUUGAAGUAACAAGUCACUGAAUCACAAAUUCAGAGGAAGCAUGAGAACAAGGUAUUCCAGGCCGGGUGCAGUGGCUCAUGCCCGUAAUCCCAGCACUUUGGGAGGCCAAGGUGAGCAGAUCACUUGAGGUCAGGAGUUCGAGACCAGCCUGGCCAACAUGGCAAAACCCCAUCUCUACUAAAAAUACAAAAAUUAGCUGGGCGUGGUAGUGCUUGCCUGCAAUCCCAGCUACUCGGGAGACUGAGACUGAGGAAUUGCUUGAACCUGGGAGGCAGGGGUUGCAGUGAGCUGAGAUUGUGCCAUCGCACUCCAGCCUGGGUGACAGGACGAGACUCUGUCUCAAAAAAAAAAAAAAAAAAAGAACAAGGUCAAAGUUUCUACUGGGAUAAGACUUCAAGGAAACCUCCAUUUCAAAAGAUUAAAAUGUUUAUUUCCCCAUGAAGACUGGGUAUCUCAUGUAAUGUAAUACUCAAAUUUCUGUCUCAGACCUAAAGGUGUUGAAAGUAUGAGCGAGUUUACACAACACCUGAGCAGGAGCAAAUAAAACUCUUAAGAGCUUCUGAAAGAAAGUUACAGAUUAGAGAUAUUUUCAUCUCUAAAUCACAUGAAUUAGGAUUGGCUGGGUCUUUCCACUUAAAACUUGGAGAAGUCAUAAAAAGAAAUCUUGUAAAGAACUCCAUGUCACUAUUAGCAGAAACAUGCAAUUUAUAAAAUGAUAUCUUUGGCCAGGCGCGGUGGCUCAUGCCUGUAAUCCCAGCACUCUGGGAGGCCGAGGCGGGCGGAUCACUUGAGGUCAGGAGAUCGAGACCAUCCUGGCUAACACAGUGAAACCCUGUCUCUACUAAAAAUACAAAAAAAAUUAGCCGGGCGUGGUAGUGGGUGCCUGUAGUCCCAGCUACUUGGGAGGCUGAGGCAGGAGAAUGGCGUGAACCCAGGAGGCGGAGCUUGCAGUGAGCACUCCAUCUCAAAUAAUAAUGAUAAUAAUAAUAUCUUCACCUUUCAGUUUUUAAAUUGCAAGUCCCAUGUCCCGGGAAUUCCCCGGUCCUGGGCAAAGUGGGAUGGUUGGUCACCCAACCUAUAUGGAUGCCCAUUGAUAUUAAAAAAUAAAAGUAAUCACAAUAGACAUGAGGGAGAGAGUUGUGUACAGUGUGAGUGUACAGAAUAAAAGGUCUGGGGGGUUUAUACCAAAAUGUGCACAGUGGCUACCUGGAGGAGGAGGGUUAGACAGGAAUAACAGCAAGGAGACUUUUGCACGGUGCUGAGUGACUUUUUAACUUGCAUAUUAUUUUGGAAUGCAUUUUUUCAACAUUGAAAGAAAGUCAUGUCUUCCUAGAAAUAUAGGAUAUAGGACCACUACAAACGCUUUACUCUUAGUCUCCUUUUUUUCUUUUUCUUUUCUUUUUUUUUUUUUUUGAGACAGAGUCUUGCUCUGUCAGUCAGGCUGGAAUGCAGUGGCGCAAUUUUAGCUCACUGCAACCCCCACCUCCUGGGUUCAAGCGAUUCUCCUGCCUCAGCCUCCCAAGUAGCUGGGAUUACAGGUGCCCAUCACCACAUCUGGCUAAUUUUUAUGUGUUUAGUACAGAUGGGGUUUCGCCAUGUUGGCCAGGCUGGUCUCGAACUCCUGACCUCAAGUGAUCCACCUGCCUCUGCCUCCCAAGGUGCUGGGUGGCAUGAGCCACCGUGCCCAGCCUUAGUCUGCUUUAAAAAAAAAAAAAAAAAAAAAAAGAACAACCAUUUGAGGAAACAGAAACAGAAUACUAUUCCUUAAGACAGUAGCUUUGGAGGCAAAAAACAGAAUUGUUUAUAAAACGUUGUGGAACUUAUAUGGGAGCAUGUCCAGGGAUCCACACCACCAUUUAUAGAAGCAAAGAAAGGCCCUUCUCUUUCAUCUGCGUUACAUUUCGAGCUCUUCUGAUUAGCUUCCUUCAAACAUGACGGGAGUCGUUUUUCCCCGGGGACCCCAAGUGCAUGCCUUCAGACAGGGUCUGCUCUCACUAUACAUUGGGUUCGAAUUUACCUGGACGUUGGCAGAAUGGUCCGGACCCCGGGGAGGGGCGAGCUGACUUACCACUUUAUUCCUGCCGCUUUUCUCUUGCCAUGUCCUCCCCACCGUGCAUUCAGGGUUACAUUUUCCAGGUUCCUUGUUUGCUGAGGGCCUGAAUCUAAGCCUGCUAGCUGCUUACUCUGGGGACUGCAAAUGUCACUUUUAGAUUAAUCAGCCCCUGCUGUUUAAAAAUAUCCCUGGAGCACUUAACCUUCAAAGCAGCAACAACCCGGGGCAAAGAUGAGAAAGAUCCCACGUCAAACCACUUGUGCAGCCCUGGCUACUCCUGGGAGAGUUCUGCUAUCUGCCUUUUAAUCCCAUAACUCGCUUUAUUUCAUAAUUCUUAGCUGUUGAAGCCAUGAGGCAUCUAAAGUCCAUGUUGUCGUAAGCAGUAGGCAGAAAGUCAUCUGGGCCCUCCUGUGACAUGCUGAAAAUUAACUGCCUACAGGUGUUGGUCAUUUGAGAAACAAGCCCCCAUUGAAAACCGUGAAUGGGAAGGUGAUCGCUAUCAGGUCACCUGGCUUCUCUCCCCUGAAAAGAUUUGGCGAAACCCUCUCAAAUCACGCCACUUAAUGGAAUGUUUCCAAUUUCUUGUGACUUGGGGAUAAAAGAAAAAAACAGCUCCAUUGCCACAUUCUCAUUCAGGGUUGACUGGCUCUUGCUAGGGUUGAGCACAGAAGAGGAAAUUCAGCACACGCUGCAGUUACAUAGUGUUCUGCAACGUGGGGAGGGCUGGCAUGUGGGACAAAGGUCGCCUCCAAGGCCCAGCUGGAGAAGCCCAGCCAACUAGGCAGCAGGAAAGUGGAGACCACAUAGGAGCACAUUGUGCUCAGGCAACAGGGAAGGUGGAACCCACUUCCUGCCAACAAUGAUGGCCUUACUAAACAGCAAGUGGAGAAACUGGCGAGAGCGCUGAGCACGGGAUCUGUGCAAAAUGGUUUAAAUGGAAAUUGCUGCUGGGGCUGGUGCAGCCUGUUCACAGCUACUUUGUUUCUGGGCUUAUUUUGCAAUAAGGAACAGUCAUUGAAUAUUGGACUUCUUGGGAUUUUCUCCACUGGACUUGGAAGCAUGUGCUCUGGAAACCUCAGCAUUAUCAGCUGUAACCCCACAGCACCAGGUACAUGUUACAGGAACCGGGGUGAAGGAAUGCAGGUCAAAUGCCUGCACAAUGCCCGGCCCGAGUCAUAUGUUCUCUAGCCACAGUAGCCCUUGUGAUGGCUCUUAGUCUAUUUAUUAAGACAAUAAAAGAGGUGACUCUCAAACAAACCUAUGUUUCCAGGGAGAGCCAUCUGUGAUUCAAGGACAUUUUUAUAAAAUUCCAUUGAAAAAAAUUCUUAGGCUUCUAACUUCAUGAAAAAAAAAUUCUUUCCCAGUGAUUCCAAAUAAUCAUGAUCUAGGCAGGGUGUUGACAGUGGCAGGACUAUUAGGCUUUGAAAUCAAGCUGAUGUGGGUUUGAAUCCUCCCUCCAUUAGCCAUGACUUUGAGCAAAUGGCUGAGCUUCAGUGUCCUCAUCAACUACUUCACCAUAUGGGUGAGAAAAUGAAAUGAUUUAUAUUGAGUUUCUGGCACAGGGGCUUGCUCAUGACAAGCACUUAAUAUCUUUCUAAUGAAAUUCAUUACUUGCAAAAAGACUAGACAUACCCACACAUACAGGUGAAGAACUCUGCAGUGAUUCAGUUCUCCCUAGACACUAUCUCUUUAAGACACAGGUAUUUUCCAGAAUAUAAUUGGAAGGCUUGAAACCAAAGUUAUUCAUAAACUCUUUCCAUCAAACACAAGAACGGUAAUAGAAAUAUAUUUCUUCAAACAGCUGUUAGUUUCAGAAAGUCACAGGUAUCAAGUUACAUUUUUUGUUUUGUUUUGUUUUGUUUUAGAAAUAGGAUCUUGCUCUGUUGCCCAGGCUGGAUGGAGUGCAGUGGCAUGAUCAUAGCUCACUGCAGCCUCGAACUCCUGGGCUCAAAUGAUCCUCCUGCCUCAGCUUCCCAAGUAGCUAGAACUACAGGCACACACCACCCCUGGCUAAUUAAAAAAAAAAAAAUUUUUUUUUUUUAAAGACAAGGUCUCAUUAUGUUGCCCAAGUUGGUCUUGAACUCCUGGCCUAAAGCGAUCUUCUUGCCUUGCCUCCUAAAGCACUGGGAUUACAGGUAUGAGCCACUGUACCUGGCCCAAAAAAAAUUAUUAAGUGACCACAUGGUCUAACAAAACAAGGCACCUGGAAAGAAAUCACCAGUCCUGCUGCAAACCGGACCCUCUGUGAGAAUUCACAUGCCUUCCCCCACCAAUUAAAUCAGAAUUUCCAGGGAUGGGGUCUGGCUUUGCAUGUUUUAGCUUCUCUAGGCUGGAGGAGCACUAGCUUCUUGUUGGAAGGCUCCCUACCUUCCUCUCCCACACCCUCACCCCAAACAUCAUUAAGAGAGACAAAAGAACAUGCUAUAUACACAACUAACAAGCAGAGAACAUAAAUUAUUGAUCUCCUGGUCUGCUCCGCUCACCAAUAUUUAUAUUUCCAAGCAUAUUUCAAAAACUUAAAAACUGGUUCCCUAGCCUGGGCAACUUAGCAAGACCCCAUUUCUAUUAAAAACUUAGCCAGGUAUGGUGGUGCAUACCAGUGGUCCCAGCUGCUCAGGAGGCUGAGGCAGGAGGAUCACCUGAACCCAGGAAGUUGAGGCUGCAGUGAGCCAUGACUGAGUCACUGUACUCCAUCUUAAGAAACAGAGUGAGACUCUAUCGCAAAAAAAAGAAAAAAAAAUUGGUUCCCAUUGACUUAAACUACAAAGGAACUUCCUGUUGUCAGACCCAAAUUACAGUGUCAGAAGGACUCUAAACAAGGAGGCCAUCUCCAGCAGAGGAAUGUUCUAGCUUUCCUCAGCUUGAGUCAGCACAAGUCAGCAUGUGAGGUCUUUUCAAAGUAACCCAGAGCACCUCCCUGCAACCUGUUUUUCCUUGCAAAUCUUGAAGGUUUGGCAAGGAUGAAAAGCCAACACCACACGCAUACGCCAAAAAGUUUGCUUCUCCACCAAACAUACUUGCGAAGACUUUUAUAUGAGAAGCAAACUGAAGCAGAAAGUGAAUUUGAACAGAGAUGUAUUAUCUAAUAAUGCAAGCAUACUAGCAACAUGCUAAAGUCUAUCUUUAAAAAAUGCAAACAAUUUAUAGUCCCUGACCUUCCCCUGCUGGAUGUAGAUCAAAAGCAGGCAGUGACUUUCACACAAUUAAUUAUUUUAUAACUGGACGUUUCCAGUACAACAUUUGCUAAUAACUGACUUCCUUGUGUUACCAAUUCCAAAAGCUGUCAGAGAUCUCCCUAACUCACCUGAAAAGGGAGGAAACAGGAAUCAUUAGGCCAGGUUCUCAGAAGCCUCCCAAACCUUGCCACGUGGAACCAUCCAGCUCCACAUCCAG